CAAAUAUAAAUCAUUUCAUUGCUCAGCCCCAAGCGGAGAUGAUAUCUGCCUUAAGAAUAGCUACUUCAAAGAAGUUCAGAACACAUUUGCAUAAAGCAGUUGUCAGAUUGUUUGUGUUUAGUUCAAGGGGAUGAAAAUUAAUUGUAAAAUGCCAUGUGGGAAAUUUGUUCAUGCAGUGUCCAUAGGGAUGUACGACUUCAUAACUUGGAUUUUACACAGAAUGGUUCAAAGGACAAAUUUUAAAAUCAUAUUUCCCCUCCCAUUAUGGUUAAGUACACAGGCACAUCUCAAUGGACUACAAAUUGCUUGUGUUUGCUUAAGUUCUGCUAAUAAACCAUCUCUGGAAGGGGUGCCUAUUUGGAGUAAUUAAAUAGUUGGCUCCUGUGGUGGUAAAUGGAAAACAUAGCAGAAGAAAACGUGAUUUUCCACAACACUGAAUUAGAGACACACCUCAAAGAGGUAUCUAGUGUGAUUGACUGAAAACAAAAAUAACUUUCCCUCUACUUUUGAAGAUGAGAAAAAAACAGGUGGAGGAGGCCUGCAAGGGAAUGUAUCCCCACCAUGUGAAUAUUGCAUAUUCCUGUGAGGACAGAAAACAAAGCUUACAAAAGAGAGUGCCAUAUAUUUCAUCAAUGAAUGGAAAGUUGCUGCAAGAACUCAGAGAAAAAUGCAUGUGGCAUUUCAGAAACUUUCAGGUUGAAAUCAAAGGCCUACUCAUUUUGAAAGCAGGUUUGUGGAGAAAAAGUUGCAUAUUCUUCUUGUGUAGGUAUUUCUAUGUUGUUUCAGGGGUAUAUAUUUGUGUGUUUGUUUUUUUGUUUGUUUGUGUGGGUUUUUUUAUGCCUGUUUCUCAAUUAAGAUUGUCUGGCUGUGAGACUUUUUUGGAAAUAUAAUUCUUUUGCUGCUGUAUGUCUGACAUGAAAAAUUUUUUAAACAUCUAUAAGAUGUGUUGUCAUGGUCAAAUGAAAUAAAAAAUGAAUCUUUUUAACUCA
rnacentral:lncRNA from 1 species